AUUGAACGCUGGCGGCAUGCCUUACACAUGCAAGUCGAACGGUAACAGGUCUUCGGAUGCUGACGAGUGGCGAACGGGUGAGUAAUACAUCGGAACGUGCCCGAUCGUGGGGGAUAACGGAGCGAAAGCUUUGCUAAUACCGCAUACGAUCUACGGAUGAAAGCAGGGGACCGCAAGGCCUUGCGCGGACGGAGCGGCCGAUGGCAGAUUAGGUAGUUGGUGGGAUAAAAGCUUACCAAGCCGACGAUCUGUAGCUGGUCUGAGAGGACGACCAGCCACACUGGGACUGAGACACGGCCCAGACUCCUACGGGAGGCAGCAGUGGGGGAAUUUGGACAAUGGGCGCAAGCCUGAUCCAGCCAUGCCGCGUGCAGGAUGAAGGCCUUCGGGUUGUAAACUGCUUUGUACGGAACGAAAGACUCUUCUAAUAAAGAGGUCCAUGACGGUACCGUAAGAAUAAGCACCGGCUAACUACGUGCCAGCAGCCGCGGU
rnacentral:rRNA from 1 species